AAGUCGUAACAAGGUCUCCGUAGGUGAACCUGCGGAGGGAUCAUUACUGAGUUAUUACAACUCCAACCCAUGUGAACUUACCACUGUUGCCUCGGCGCAGAGGCCUGCUAGGGACUUGUCCCCAGUGGGUGGAUGCGCCGGUGGACUACUAAACUCUUGUUAAUUUUGUUAUUCUGAAUAAAAAACUUAAUAAGUUAAAACUUUCAACAACGGAUCUCUUGGUUCUGGC
rnacentral:misc_RNA from 1 species